AUGCUAAGGGCCAUGUUAUCGAGGUGGCCAAGUGUGAUACUAGCGAGUUUGGCUUAUGAUGAGAAGGGACAAAGAAGGUACGUGUGGAGUUUGCUUGCCGGUGCAAUCGCAUCUAUCCGCCGAUUCGUCCUUCCAAAGAGGGACGAGUCGAAAUGGUGGUGGUCAAACUCUAUGGGGCAACAAAACCUAUUUGAUUUGUACAACAAACUUAGCAGGGCCAGCCAAGUAAGCAGAAUCAUGAGUUGGAUGGGGGUUGAAUUUUGGUGGAACACAAUGCUCUGCUCAAGCUCCAUCCCUGUCUCCAGAACUAUUAAGGAGCAACUGUUGGAUCAAAUGCAUAUGUGUUGUCAGAGUGCGAGCAUCCUGGGCAAGUACCAGUACAAGCUCGAUGACAAGCAGUUAGAUCCCAUCGUCAAUACCUGGGGCCAGGCAACCUUAAAGAAAUGGAAUAUAUACACGGAGCCAGGCAGUGAUCUAUACAGUUAUCUGGAUAUGGAGUUGGAUGAGAAUAUCCUCAUAUGGCACAUCGCCACCAAUAUUUACCUCCAUUGGUACAAGCGGCAAGAGCCAGCUACAGUUGAUGUUGAGGCAACCGAGGCGAUUUCCAAUUACAUGCUUUUCCUCCUUGCGGCACGCCCCUACAUGCUGCCGGGCUCUGUCAGCCGCACCAAGUAUGUUGGUAUGUGCUAUUGUCUCAUGGGUCUCAAGUACAAUACAGCUCAAUAUUUGGCAAGAGUGCUAGGGUCGAAAGAUAAAAUAAAGUAUGCUAAAAGAGGAGACAUGCCAAAAAUUGCUGAGUUAAUAAAGGAUCGGAAAAGAGAAAAUAUGCCGAAAAUUAAAGGGGAACAGAAGGUUCCAACAAGAGAAGAUCACAUUCACGACAACGAUACACUGUCUAAAUCACGCUAUCUAGCCAACAGGCUAAUACAUGCGGGUUGUAGACCAGAUGAUGUGCUAGGAGUGUGGACGGAGAUGCUGCUAUGCGGGGCAUAG
rnacentral:rRNA from 1 species